GAAGUACUCCCUUUGUUUCAAAAUACUUGACUUCCAUUUGUCCAAAAAUGGAUGUACCUAUAUACUAAAACAUGUCUUCUUCCAUUUGUCCAAAAAUGGAUGUACCUAUAUAUUAAAACAUGUCUAGAUAUAUCUAUAUUUUGACAAAUGGAAGGCAUGUAUUGUGGAACGGAGGGAGUACAAC
rnacentral:pre_miRNA from 1 species